rfam:Sphingobacteriales bacterium 41-5 SCNpilot_expt_1000_bf_scaffold_1377, whole genome shotgun sequence.
UCGGCCGUGACGUGGGAUAUGAAAUAAGCAAGCAGCAAGUAGUUGAUCAGACUUAGAGAAACAUCAUUUAAAGCAUACCAUGUAUGUAAGCGGAUAAAGUAUUGCAAGCAUGAUAGUUGGACGAAAUUUACCGGUGGUAAAUGGUGUAGAUUAGGGUUAUGAGUUAACUGAAAGGCGUUUUCC